CCUCUCUUUAAUAUCUCGUUUUUCUUCCCGCUUUCCUUUCUUGCUUCACUUUUCUCAUUUCCAUAUUAUUACAUCUUCCCCCUUCUCUCUCUCUCUCUCUCUCUCUCUCUCUCUCUCUCUCUCUCUCUCUGGGGAUGCUGCUCAGGGCCCCGUCUUUCCCGGCAGAGCUAUGCGGCGUGGCAACCCUAACCCCUACGACUCACACAUUCACUUAUCCCACCACCCAGGGUUCACGCAAGGUCACACAGCCGACGUGAGGAGCGAGGGAAGGGUCAUAGCCUCAGUAUACGAAGCAGCUGAUGCCAUGGAAUAAACGUAAGAGAGACAAACUGCCGUGUAAUAGCGCUGCUCCGUGUGAUGAAGUGAGAAAGAGAUAGAUGGAAACAGUAUUGUCCACUCUCCUCAACGGUUUUUCGGACGAUGGAGCGUGGCUAUAGGCAAGGCGGGGAGAGAAAGGCUGGUGGGUGGACCGACAGAGGAGAGGAGGGGAAGGGUUAUGUAGGACACAGACUUAGAGAACGGAGAUUCCACCUUAGAGAGAGAGAGAGAGAGAGAGUGAAAAGCAGACGAAAAUGCAACGGACUAAAGGAAAUGAGAUUAACGAGCGGAAAAAUGGUGAGGCGAUAUAAGGAGAGAUUCAGUUGAGUGAGGAGAAGGAGGAGGAGGAGGAAAAAGAGGAAGAGGAGGAGGAGGGGCAAACGAGGGCGGGUUAAGCAUUCUGAAGAUAAUCUGUAGCAGCGGACCGGAAGUGGCGCCUCGCACGUGCCUGGUCAGUGAGUGCCGUUGUCAGUGCCAGUGUAGGUGCACUCUCUGGUGUCCCCGGGGUGAGGCAGUAACGGCCUGAUGCGUAUAAUGAAUGGUGGAGGCAAGCUGUGACGAUGACCAAAGAUAGGAAGAACAGAGAGGGAAAGAAUUAUGCACACACACACACACACACACACACACACACACACACACACACACACACACACACACACACACACACACACACACACACACACACGUGCGCACUAAUGACUUGCACAGAUUAACAUAACCAGUUAGUGAGUUGUUACCAAUAAGGACACGUGUCACUCAGACUCACUUAACCCCUUUAGUACUGCGGCACAUUUUUACCUUGAGAUUUGUGUACGAUUGGACCAUUUUAUUGACAUUAAGAAGGGUCUAUGGAGUUCAGAAAAUCAAUGGCCUCAGUCUUCACUAUUUUAACCCCGACGUAAGUUUCUGAAGCUGUAGAGAAUCACCAAAUAGUAAGAAGAAUGAAUAUGGAAACGCGUCAUGGCACUGAAGGGGUUAACAACACCAUUAACAACCAUAACAACCCACUGCGUACCUAACACCCGUCAAAUAAAUCUUUUGCUGCACUCAACUUAAUGCUCGUGAACUCAUUACCUGGACUUGCAGCUUCGGCAUGUACAGACAGAAAACUGAUGAAGAACUCGCCUUAUUUCGUCACGUAUCGCAUUCAGAUUGCAAGAACAAACGCAUAUAGUUCAUCCGUUUCGCGUCUUAUCCUGAUUACUUUUAGCGGAUUAUAAUGGAUGAUGAUAUUAAGGUUUUCAAAAGUAUGUUAUAAUGAUCCUUGUGGUAAUCUAACAAGGAUUCCCCAUCACCAGUGACAAAAACACCCCUCAGAACCUGACUAAUCAUCUCCGUGGCUUUUGAAACAGUCUUGAUGAGGGCACAGAGUUAAAGAAUACGGGCUUUAACCUCCACUGGUGUUGUCAAAGGGUGGUUGGAUGAGAGAGCCGCACCAACCUCAGGCCGGCCGCGACAGUGGGUGGGUGUUGCUAACUUGCUGAUCAUUGCGGGUCUAUCGGUCACGUGAUGAUAGAAGGAACCCGCACAUCAGGGCAGCUUACUCCACACUCCACGGCUACACACACACACACACACACACACACACACACACACACACACACACACACACACUAAAGAAUGAGGAGGUGAGGGUAAAUGACCUCGGUGUGUGUGUGUGUGUGUGUGUGUGUGUGUGUGUGUAUGUAAGGUGACAUUCAUUCUACAUGACAUCUUUCUUCGCAUCAUAUACGUAGAUACUUGAGUCCAUGCUGUGUUAGUUGUGUAGAGACAUUCAAUGCAGAACCUUUGCUGAAUAACUGAGGGACAGGCAAGUGGAGGGACCAGCCAGAUGACAAGAGAGGAGGAGAGAUAAAGAUUGUGGAGACGCGAGGAAACUGCUAGUCAGUCAUGCCAGAGUGACGGAGGGUGAUGUGGGAUGCGGAGAGAGAGAGAGAGAGAGAGAGAGAGAAUCACCAUGGGCGUGACAAUGUGACUAUAAUGAGAGCUCACAAGUCGAAAACAGAGAGGGGUCUGUUAGGCUACCAAUGCCCCCAGCACAGCCUGCCCGCCCACCUACUUGCCCACCCACCCACCCGCCCAUCCUUCCAUCCACCUUGCCACGCCUCUCCCCACUGAGAAAACCACCACCACCCACCUCAUGCCCUGUCCUUGCCUCGCCCCGCCCUCCCGCCACCACAACUGGCUUCCCUGCCUGGCAUCACUACACCAGUCAAGGGAUGGGCAUUGUGUAACAUUUUACCGGCGCCGGUCCAGAGUAAACAGCGUCUCUCUCUCUCUCUCUCUCUCUCUCUGGCGCACAGAUAUGUUCAUCAGAAAGGAUUACUUCACGUAGAAAUCAAUAAGUACGAAAUGAGACACUUAAAAGUCUGUUUCAAAUCAACACGCGCAGGGCAAUAUAAAUCUCGUGUUGGAAUUCAAGUUCGACUCACUCAGUAUUGAUUAAUUUCAAUGCGCCACAACAGCGGGUCAUAGUAAGUAGCGAAAAAAAAAAAAUCAAGAAAAGCAGUAUCUUAUGCAGUACAGAUGAUGAAACUUUCCGAAUCAAACAAGCAACACUUCAGUAAAUUAAACGAAGAGAAUGCUGAUCCUUACGGACAUUGUAUCGUUCUUUAUUUCUCUCUCUCUUACACACCACUAAAAUCUUUCGUUGCAUUAUAAUCAGCUCCGUCACACCGCGUUAGAAUUCCAUGAUAAAAUAGGAGAGUGAGAUUUUGAUCGAACCAUGACUCAACCAGCGGCAGACACGAAUGUUACUGAUCAGGGCCAUUGAGCGCAAGUAUUGUAUAGUCAAGGUCACUGGUCGAUGAACGUGGCACACACAUGGCACUUUCCCUCAUUCGUGUCAUCUGAUCCGCCAUUCAUCCAUCAGCUGCUAGGUUUCAGACUUGGUUGAUUAGAGGAAAGAAAGGUGAGAGAGGACGCUGUACACAUGGUAGUGAAUACAACAGGUAAUCGACUUAUGGCCACGACUGUACAGGCGAUCGUUGUUUCCUAAGAAAUGUGUGUUGUUUGGAUAGUUCACGGUGCAGCGGUCCAACGUUCUGCUCAUGUUACCUUCCACAGCAUAUACCACGAAAUUAAGAGUUAUCAAAAGACAUACCUUAUUUAUUUAUUUAUUUAUUUAUUUAUUUGAGGAAAAUGUGUUGUUAUUACAUUCUUUUCCAUUUUUGUUUGCAAUGCUGAAACACGUUCGAAGUGUUCACCUGUAAAUUCCAAGCUCCUAAACACCAAAAGAGAAAGUGCUUCCUUAAUUCAAGAGAUUACAUAAAAGGAAAAAUUCACAAUAGAAUAUAAGUAUUGUACGUAUGAAUACAUACAAAACAUGAAUACAAUUAUCUAACCAACGAUAAAGGUGUUACAGUGUGAAACAUACAAAACAGCCUUCAGUCUUACGAAAAACUAGCAAACAAUGACGUCAGACUUUCAAGGUAUGGAUUCUCAGCCUUGGUCGUGUCGCUCAACUCUUGUCUAAACUUGUUGAAUCAAAUAUGAAUAAGCUGCACUAAGUCCUUUCAUUGAACCUCCACGCAGACCAAGGCAGCAGUUCGUAGGUGUGUCACUUCAAUUCCCAGUAAGAGCAAGGAAGUUAGUUUUGGCUUGAGAGAUUUUACGUAUUGUAUGUCUAUCAAUGUAAACCCUAUAUGUUAAUCUCUCUCUCUCUCUCUCUCUCUCUCUCUCUCUCUCUCUCUCUCUCGAUAAGAAAAAAAGUAAAUGCAUAAUAUUGACAGCUACACAAACAUUAUUCGUACAUAUUCAGUUAUGAUCACUUACAAAUGUUUAUGUAUGGAAGUAAUAAAUAGCUAAAAGAAAUUAGGUAAAUACGAAUAAAUAAAUAAAUGAAUGAAUAAAAUUCAGUCACAAGAAAAAUCGAAAAAACUCAUUAUUCAUUGUGUGUGGGGGGUGAGCUGAUAUUGUUAUGACAGGUAGGACAUGUAGUGAGUAUCGAACCAGUAGUGAUCGGGUAGUCAAAUGUCUUGCGCAUGUCAAGAAGUGGUGAUUGAAGGAGGUAGAGACGAGUAACCAUCUUCCGCCUGAUAGAUGGAUAAGGAGCUGCAGGAAAGUUGUAAGGGAGGACUACGGUACUUAUAACCACUGUAAAAUACUUCUGGGCCCCGCCUCCUCUACGUGAUAAAAGAUCUAGUUGAAGUUGCACUGCUUGGGGUGAUUUUUUUUAAGGUUCUAGUGAUAGAUUGAUAAAAUUCAAAUAUUAUUAACAGGGAAAAUCAUUUAAAGGAACCCGGCUCAUCAUCUCGGUGGCCUUUGAAAAUAGUCGUGGUGAGAGAUCAGUGUUUCUAUAGACGGGAGGACGAAUACAGUGACACUUAUCAACGACUCUCCCACUCACACAGAUUAGACGUAUCAGUAGGAGAGGUAAUAAGGGAAAAUUCAUGCUGAUAAGAGUGUGAUAUGUAUUGCCUUACGUGUUAAUGCAGCAUUUUUCCCCACUCACAGUAAUAUGACGUAACAGAAAUUGGGCAAAAAGGAGUAUAUUGUAUUUCCUUACGUUUCAAAACUGGUCUUUCUGUCAAUGUAUGUUUAUUUUAUGUUUCUAUUUAUUUAAGGAGGAUAUUAUAGUGAAAGGUAAAUGGAAUGUGUAUGAUAAUUAUUCUCCUUCAGGCAUGCUUUCAACUCAUUAUAGUGUAGGAAAAUUUGUACUGACGUAAGAGCUUUUUGUCGGUUUUUAUAGUUUAUGAGAGAGAGAGAGAGAGAGAGAGAGAGAGAGAGAGAGAGAGAGAGAGAGAGAGAGAGUUUGUGUCUAAACCUCUGUUAUAAUGUUUCAAGAAGUAAACGUUUCCAACAGUGCGUCCACUCCCUGCCUGCGGGAGUGACAGGCGGGACAGGUGUGGCCCAGCAUGGCUCUCUUGAAAAACUGGCUCCAUGUGAAGUCAAAGAGCAACAGCAGUCGAGUCCGUGUUCAUCCCCAGACAGAUGACGUACACACUGUAGGUUAAGAUCUACUGGUACCGUCUGCCAUCUCACGGGUUACUGGAGGUGAUUUGACUGAUUUUCCUUUAAGAUCAUUGAAACCCGUCUUAAACAUAGUCACAAUGCGCGUGCUCAGACGAUAUGUGUUGCCGAUGUGAGAUUGGUGGUGUAAAAAGAAGAAUUUGCAGCCAUAAUUCCUGAAUAGCAGGUUCUGCACAAGUUCAUUGCCCAUCUUAGCUGAUAGAAAGUUGCACUGUAAAAUCAGAAAAUAAUAGAAAUGUUGAAUAAAAGAAAGUUAAUCAAGAAUGCUAAGCUUUUAGCAGCACCAGAUUAUCGACAGAGGGACUCUGGUGUUGUAGUUAUAGAAAUUAUCAAUGACAUGCUAUGUACAGUUACUUACAAAUGAGGCUACAUAUAGCAAAGACUGGCCGAGGAUAAUGAUUACUUUGCUGUUUUUAACUUUAACCUCACUGGAAUCCGUUGGUAUCUCCAGAUGUUAUUAACAAAUUUCCUAUUGAUAUUUGAGGAAACGUCUUGGGUCAAAGGAGGAUUGAUUGCGACUUAAACUGAAUUCGCAUAACUAUUCAAGGACUCAUUUUUCCAUCCUAUCGCAGAGUUUCUCUUGGUAAAAGUCUACGGAAAUUUGGCGCAUUUUGUGAAGUCUACGGGGAAUGUUUGCCAUCAUGGAUAUCAUAUAGAUGAUGUGGGUUGUAUGGGUGUCCUCUAGUUGAGAAUGUACAAGAGCAGGAUGAUGCAUUCCAGCAUGGCGAUUGUAAGGGAUUGUAACUAAUAGAAAAUAGACGAGUUUUCAAGACACGAAUGGAGAGCGAAGAAUAUAUAUGUUGCUAGAGCAAUUCGAUAGCCUGCCAGGUGGUUCAGAUGCGUGGAGAAUGAACCAAGUACGUUAAAUAAUGAAAAAUAGAGAACUAACAGAUGCACCAAGGAAGACAUGUGCGUAAUAUGGCGCUGAGGGUGACAGAAAUGUAACCUUUGUGUGUGUGUGUGUGUGUGUCCUGAAAGUUCCUUGUAUCUGCACCACACUACACCACCAACACCACCACCACCAGCAACAAUAUAAGCAGCAAUAGAGCGUCGCUUUGCUCCAGUGAUAAAGGUCAUCGUGAUAAAAUGUUCAUGAGUGACUUGUGACGGAAUUGAUCUGCCGAUAGCUUCCUUCCCCUCACCGUAUGAAAGGGGAAGUAAUCAAUAAAAUCCUUCUAUCCAGUUGGUUGCAGUUCAUUGUACAUUGCGUAAAAUAAACCCGCUUACCUCAUCAUAUAUCGCUACGCUUUAUAGUUCAUUAUAUUUACAAGGAACUAAUGACAGCUAAGAGAGGGAUUUGCACUCCUCUCACCCUUGCCCAGGAACAAUAUAAAAAAAUAACAAACUGACCGUGAGCAAAAAGAAAGAAUAAAGGGGAGGGAGGAUGAGAGGGGAACACAAGUGGCAGAAAAAAACCUCUAACUGGAGUAGACCGAAUUAACGGGACAGAUAUAAAUUAAAGUGGCUCAGCACCUCGAAGAUACUAUUGGCAAAACAUUACUUUACGGUGGAUUCACGUAACUGUUCACUUAAUUGUCUACUUCAACAUGCACAGAUGAGUAUUGUACUGUUCACUAGUCAUGGUAGAUUUACUCAAUGCAUGUGAAUUUGAGCUCAUACGGUCCAAUACCGAGUGCUGUAUGCUACAGAGUUACUGUUUCAUAUAAGUUCGGGUUGGUUUAAAGCUUCGGAUUGCGGCUACAAGGCCAAUAAAGGUAGUGAUACAGAACGAUCCGUGAGUGAUAGAGAAUCUAAUGGUACACUUUUAGGUUUGAAUGUGUUGAGGUUGAUAUUUAAGACUAUAUUAUCAUACAUUAGCGAUGCGGUUAUGUGUGUAUGGGAGACCUCCCUGUAUACAGUGCUGGAUCAUAGCAUGUGUUUUGCGGUGCUCUUGAGACAGUGAAGGUGUGUGUCAUGGUUGUGACAUAACUGUGCUGCAUGUGUGCCAUUUUCCUGUUUUUGGAAAAGGAUGAAAACUUUCAGAGUUCCUAUAAAGUCAUUCAAUGUACAGUGGAGCGAUUAUUUGUUCCAGUGACCUCUGAGUAAGUGGUCAAAUGUAAAGUGUGGUCGAGAACUUCCUGUUGAUGAACGCUAGAAACACCGUAUGUCCUUAAUAAAGAUAGACAUUGACAGCGUUGUAUCGCUAAGAGUCACAUGAGGAAGUGGCAAGCUGGUGGAGGUGGAGUGGCCAAGCUUGGCACUGGUACAGUGGGCCAGUGCGGCAUUGAGUCUCUGGCUUGUGUCUACACACCUGUACUACCGAUACCUGCUGACCUCUGCCACGGCGACCACCAUCACGCUGUGUACGGUCAUCCUCAGUCCCCAUCCAGCCACCAGCUCCCACACCACCACUGCCAUCACAUCACCUGACCUCCAUGUUACCAUCGGGCCACAAUAUCCGCGUCUGAAGCACCACGCACACUUCGGCUAUCGGGGCCGCCAUGUUUUGGCAUCUGUGUCGCUGAAA